rnacentral:rRNA from 1 species
GGGCGCAAGCCUGAUGCAGCGACGCCGCGUGAGGGAUGACGGCCUUCGGGUUGUAAACCUCUUUCAGUAGGGACGAAGCGCAAGUGACGGUACCUACAGAAGAAGCACCGGCCAACUACGUGCCAGCAGCCGCGGUAAUACGUAGGGUGCAAGCGUUGUCCGGAAUUACUGGGCGUAAAGAGCUCGUAGGCGGUUUGUCACGUCGUCUGUGAAAMCCCGAGGCUUAACCUCGGGCCUGCAGGCGAUACGGGCAGACUUGAGUACUGUAGGGGAGACUGGAAUUCCUGGUGUAGCGGUGGAAUGCGCAGAUAUCAGGAGGAACACCGGUGGCGAAGGCGGGUCUCUGGGCAGUAACUGACGCUGAGGAGCGAAAGCGUGGGUAGCGAACAGGAUUAGAUACCCUGGUAGUCCACGCCGUAAACGGUGGGUACUAGGUGUGGGUUUCCUUCCACGGGAUCCGUGCCGUAGCUAACGCAUUAAGUACCCCGCCUGGGGAGUACGGCCGCAAGGCUAAAACUCAAAG